AAGAUAUUGUGAAUAUAGUGGUAUCUGUAGUAACACCAAUUGUGGCACUCAUAGUAGCUAUCCCAACAUUUAUCAAGGUGUACGAGAAAUACAGAGAAAAAAGAGCAAUGAAGAAAGAUACACUUAUACCAACGACGUGUCCGAAAGAUACUUUACUAUUCAAUCGUGGCAGAGAGCUCAAGAUAACUAAAAACAAGAUAAAGAAAAUCGAAGCAAAUUUCAUAGUCCAGCCUACAGACAAGCAACUUACACAAAAUUGUUUAGGUA